GCGGCAACAGCUCAAAUUUGAAAUCUGGCUUCGGCCCGAGUUGUAAUUUGCAGAGGAAGCUUUAGGCGCGGCACCUUCUGAGUCCCCUGGAACGGGGCGCCAUAGAGGGUGAGAGCCCCGUAUAGUUGGAUGCCUAGCCUGUGUAAAGCUCCUUCGACGAGUCGAGUAGUUUGGGAAUGCUGCUCAAAAUGGGAGGUAAAUUUCUUCUAAAGCUAAAUACCGGCCAGAGACCGAUAGCGCACAAGUAGAGUGAUCGAAAGAUGAAAAGCACUUUGAAAAGAGGGUUAAAUAGCACGUGAAAUUGUUGAAAGGGAAGCGCUUGUGACCAGACUUGCGCCGGGCAGAUCAUCCGGUGUUCUCACCGGUGCACUCUGCCCGGCUCAGGCCAGCAUCGGUUCUCGCGGGGGGAUAAAGGUCCUGGGAACGUAGCUCCUCCGGGAGUGUUAUAGCCCGGGGCGUAAUGCCCUCGCGGGGACCGAGGUUCGCGCAUCUGCAAGGAUGCUGGCGUAAUGGUCAUCAGCGACCCGUCUUGAAACACGGACCAAGGAGUCAAGGUUUUGCGCGAGUGUUUGGGUGUAAAACCCGCACGCGUAAUGAAAGUGAACGUAGGUGAGAGCUUCGGCGCAUCAUCGACCGAUCCUGAUGUUUUCGGAUGGAUUUGAGUAGGAGCGUUAAGCCUUGGACCCGAAAGAUGGUGAACUAUGCUUGGAUAGGGUGAAGCCAGAGGAAACUCUGGUGGAGGCUCGCAGCGGUUCUGACGUGCAAAUCGAUCGUCAAAUCUGAGCAUGGGGGCGAAAGACUAAUCGAACCAUCUAGUAGCUGGUUACCGCCGAAG
rnacentral:rRNA from 1 species